GACGAACGCUGGCGGCGUGCUUAACACAUGCAAGUCGAACGGAAAGGCCCCAGCUUGCUGGGGUACUCGAGUGGCGAACGGGUGAGUAACACGUGAGUAACCUGCCCUGCACUCUGGGAUAAGCUUGGGAAACUGGGGCUAAUACCGGAUAUGACCUUCUUCUUCAUGGGGGUUGUUGGAAAGUUUGGCGGUGUAGGAUGGGCCCGCGGCCUAUCAGCUUGUUGGUGGGGUGAUGGCCUACCAAGGCGUCGACGGGUAGCCGGCCUGAGAGGGUGACCGGCCACAUUGGGACUGAGAUACGGCCCAGACUCCUACGGGAGGCAGCAGUGGGGAAUAUUGCACAAUGGGCGGAAGCCUGAUGCAGCGACGCCGCGUGAGGGAUGACGGCCUUCGGGUUGUAAACCUCUUUCGCCUGGGACGAAGCGUGAGUGACGGUACCGGGAGAAGAAGCACCGGCUAACUAUGUG
rnacentral:rRNA from 1 species